AUGCAUGGAAGACCACGAAGAGCUCCAAGCCAAGAAGAGCAAGAAGCUUCAGCGAUCAAAGCCGCCAAGCUUCGAUCUCUUCAAACUCAAUUCAUCCACUUUCAUCACAAUAAAAUUUAUGAUAAUGAAGCGCUAGAACUUAGCGCGAAGCUGCUCGAGGCCAAUCCGGAGCACUACACUGCUUGGAAUUACCGGAAGUUGGCUGUAGAUCGCCGACUUAAUCAAUCUGAGACUGAGAACAAUGUCGAGUCUAUCAAAGCAAUUCUCGAUGAAGAACUCAGACUAGUGGAGAAUGCAUUGAGGAGCAAUUAUAAGUCUUAUGGAGCAUGGUAUCAUCGUAAGUGGGUUCUAAGCAAAGGGCAUUCUUCAACAGAUCGGGAAUUACGGCUUUUGGCCAAGUUCCAGAAGGCAGAUUCUCGGAAUUUCCAUGCUUGGAAUUAUAGGAGGUUUAUAACGGCAUUGAAGAACAUUCCAGAUGAGGAGGAACUACAAUAUACAACAGACAUGAUAUAUGAUAAUUUUAGCAAUUAUUCUGCUUGGCACAACAGAAGUGCUCUUCUGAUUCGCUUGCUAAAGGAGAAUGUAAAAGGAUAUUCUCCCAAGGAGAAUGUUUUGACAGAAGAGCUUGAGUUCGUUCGCAAUGCUCUUUUUACAGAUCCAGAUGAUCAAAGUGGUUGGUUUUAUCAUCUAUGGCUUCUUGAUCAGACAGUAAAGUUAACAACUUUGUUGGUUUCUUCAUGGCCACCUCAUGGCUCUAGUCUUCAUUUGACAAGAGAUGGUUUGCUGGAUAAUUUUAUUUUGUCACCUUUAGCUGGUUCCAAGUCUAAUGCUAGAACACUUCCCCUCGUUCUCUACUUUAAUGAAGCUGUUAAAAAUAUAAAUCCAUCGACAGUCAAGGUUGAAUGUGAAGGUAAUCUGAAUACAGAUCUUGCUUGGAGACCACUGUCAGGAAAUGAUAUUGAGUGUGCCCAAGCCUGGUUGACAUACCUGAACUUCCCUGAUAGAGUCCAAUCUUUAGAGUCUUAUCAUGUAAAGGUCAACAUUUCCCAUUCCCAAGGCAUCGUCUCUUUAAGUGGCUCUGUUUACUGUGGUGCUGCUGCUCAACUAAUGUUUACAGUGCAUGUACCACCUUACAAUUCAGAACAUAUAGAAAUGGAAAAUGAAAAGAGAAUUUCUUGGAAAGAGGAAAACUUUUGCACAUAUGAAACUGUUUCUCCAGAGUCAGUUUUAGUUAAGUCAUCCUAUCAAAUGAGAAUGCCUAUAGAUGACGAAGCAAGGAAUUUGGAUUGGAAUAUUCAGACACUCGACAAUGAGAUAGCUCACUGCAGGGAGUUAUUGUUAUCAGUGAACUGUAAAAUUGGAAAGUUGACACUUGCAAGAUUGUUGAUGGCACGUGAGCAAUUGAUGUCAUAUAAUGACUCAAAUGCUGGCAACCACUAUGGAGAAGUUCUUCAGUUUUACAAUGAUUUAAUGGAAUUGGAUCCACCACACAUUCAGUACUAUAAGGAUGAAUACAGCUCUGUCUUACUAAGACAGUUAUUCUCCAAUCAAGAGUCUUUGCUGGAACGCUGCCAUCAAUAUCGAGAACCAUCUUCUUCAAUCAUUUAUAAUUAUUCAUGUCUGCGGCUAAAUAACCUCUCACUUUCUCGAGUUGGGUGUGUUGAAAAACUUUUGUGGGUCCAGAUCCUAGAUCUUAGCUGCAACCAACUUCGGUCAAUUGAAGGCAUGGAGGCAAUGCAGCUACUCUCUUGUUUAAACCUAAGCAAGAACUCACUUUGCAGUUUCACUGCUUUGGAUCCUUUAAGGCAGCUAAGAUCGCUAAAAGUAUUGGACAUCUCAUACAAUGAGAUCGGUGCGCACUCAAUUGACACAAGAAGGUACCUGUGUUCUUCUCCACUGUGCCACAGUAGUGGAAGUGCUUGGAACAUCGAGCAAUUUUCAACCGAUGCUGUCAAUGCGACUGAUUACUGGGAAGCAUUCUUAGUCUUCAAGCAUCUGAAUUUGAUACAACUAGACAUUGCGGGAAAUGCUGUUUCUGAUGAAAAGUUAAAGUUGUUGCUGUCUGAGCUAAUGCCAUCGCUCAAGUGGCUUGAUGGUCAAAAGCUCCGAUAAGUUUAAAGUGCCCUUCUUAUUUUCUCGUGUACUUUAUGUAACAGUGACUACAGAUGAACCUUCUUUCCUUGAUACAACUGAGAUAUGAUUCAUUUACAGGGAAAGCAAAGCAAAAGGGGACAUUCGAGCUUUCAACAAGACGAAAACUCAAGAGUACAAAGUAGAAACCGAGAGAGUGAAGACGACCCAGAAUAGCCACGACAUAACAGAAAGCAUUGGUUGCAGGGGCGCAGCGUAUCUGAACACGACUAAUUUGGCAACGAAGAAGUUGAGAAACUUAACAGCCGAGGUAACAAAGGCUUCCCGAAGUUGAUUUCUCAUUAUUUGCUCUAUCUUCCAUGGAUGGCCUGGUACACAUAACCUCACUGUGAAAUAUGCAAGCAUUCCCAAUAAUGCAUAUGAGUAUAACUUUUGCAUGUUGCUCUUCAUCUGUCUCUCUGGGAAAUGCAUUUUUGACUCCA